GGUCAAGACAAGCCAUCAAUCUUGGCAAAUGGGUCUUGCGAUGAAAAAGUUGAGAACCACUUCAUUAAAGCACACCAUGUAGACCUGCCCACUGAUAGUAAUUGUGAAUACUGUUAACUGAUUAGAGUAGAAGAGUAGUAGGCUCCUCAUCUGUUCAGCAUAGGCCCACUGCCACAGGGCAAAAAACAACACUGUAUUACAUUUGCAUCAGCAAUAGGAAUGAAUUUGGCCCCCAAAUUGAAUGUGAGCUGUUAGUUGGAAAGAACUUUUAAAAAUCAGGCAAUUUAGAAACAUGCUUUAGAAACUCAAAAGCCAAUGUUAGACUCCUAAUUUUGAAAAUCUUGGCCUAGAUCUCCUGAUUUUCAAGUCAGUGCCUUAACAACAAUGCAGUCCUCCUUUGCCUUGUGUAAAUGCAAUUUGUAGUCAAUGUAAAAAAGAAGCCUAAUGAAACAAUUCUCAUAUUCAAGACAGGUAGUGGGAAGGCGUCCUAGAAGAUCUCCUUUAAAUUACCAUCAUUUAAUCUUUCGGGUACUUUUUGGGGAGCAUAUCCACAUUCUUUGGCUUUGUUCAUCCAGGGGCUAUCUUUGAAUUGCACCAUUUUAUUGUCUGCAUUGCUGGAAUGCCAGCAUAUGAUCUAAGCAAGCAAAUAAAGAAGCUGAAAGAUGGGCAAAAGAUAAAGAGAUACAGAGCUCCAUUGAAUUACCAUCAACAGUAGCCUUGAAUAAAAACAUGCUAUAGUGUAAUAUAGCUACACAAUCUACAAGAGAGGACAUAGUCAUUUUCCUUCUCUGAUUAGAUCCACAGGAGUCCAGGUUCUAGACUUAAUCAAAUAUAUAUAAACAUGUGGAAUUUAAAAGCUCACAAGCUUUGAGGAGCAAAGUAAACAUUCUUAGUCUACUGAGCUGGAUUUGGAAGGCAAAAAGUUUUCUGAACAAUAUCUGAUGUUAAGCCCCCCUCCCUGAAGUUUAUUGCAUAAGCCAAAAAAGAGAGCCCAUUCUUUCUAACAAUGCCCUUUCAGCUACUUUGAUUCUAAAAAUAAAAAUGUUUGAUAGCUAUCCAAAUGAAGAAGGUGAAAACAGUAAUUUCCAGCUUUUCUAUACCUCCUUUGCUAUACCCAUAUUACAAAAGUACAGUAGCCAGUAGAUGAAGUCAGAUUGUUUUUUCCUGCCGUGUAUAUUUAAAUUCCCUUUCACUUAUAUUAAGUCUGAACAGUCAGAAAUAUUAAGACUGCUGAAAGAUUAGCUCAGUACUCUUUAUGACUUAGUAAGCAUUCAGUGUGUCAGUGCUUUCCCUGUUGGACCUGGUGACCCCAAAUCAACAUGCCUCAGUAAAGCAGGCAAAGCCUGUUUGAAUGGCAUCCUGAAAAGUAUGUAGAAGUAGUUUACUACUUACUAAAGAUGAUAACUUUUGCUUAUAGCUACUAAGGCUUACAGUUUGCCUAAUAUUAAAGCACACCAUGUAGACAUGCCCACUAUACAUAGUGGGUGAGUUUACACAUUCAUUAAUGCAGUGUAGUUACUGCUCAUUAAGUUUAGUACUUGGUUAACCACGUACUAAAUCAAUGCGCAGUAAUGUGUGCUACUGUGCAGUAGCACUGGCACACGGGUUUUAGUGAUGCUCACUGUGCAGGAGCCUAAUACUACUGUGCAGUAGCAUAUUAGCAUGGUUUUUGCAAGGUAUGCUUCUGCACAAUGUUAUUAGACUAUGGCGCAGUUAGUGUCUCAUUUAGAUGUGCCCUCAGAUACCUAGUCUUAGGUUAAAAGAAUCAUGAUGGGGUUUCUACAUUGAACCACCUCACACUGGGAAGAGAAACUGUGGUGUAUUAUGGGAGAUGAAAUACCAGGAAACUCAAACAACCAAAGAGAAUGGGACUUUGAAAUGGGAAUGGGAGGAACUCACCAUCUUACUGAGGGGACAAAAAUAGGGAAAAAAUAAUAAAUUCUUGUAAUGUCUGAUCACAUUUGAUAAAUAGUACACAACUUCUGCAAGACAUCUUGCAGGAAAUGUCCUAUCAAAAGUGGAGAAGAUAUGAAUUCUGUUUCUGAGAUGUACUGACUGAAAACUGGACUGGAUUUAAAUAAAUAAAAAAAAAAAAAAAGAAAGAAAGACCCAAAUGCCUGAAAUCUGGAGGUUUUUUUAUUUAUAUGCACAACCAUGGUGUCUCAACUUUUGACAUGGUAAAAUGGAACUUAGACUCCUUAAGUCACUUUGACAUUUUUGCAAAGUUAACCUCUGGUGUGUCCUGUUUUAUCUUAAAAAUGUCAUGAAAGAGAAGAGAAGUACAAUUAUAACAUUUCAAAGCACUGAGGAGGGAAAACCUCAUUAAGAACUCAGUUGCUAGAUGCUUUACUUCCUCUAUGUGAGUUCCCUGAAGUGCCGGUGUUUGCAGAAGGAUAUGGAGAGCAGCUGCCAGAAGGUGGAGUCUUGGCUCUGUCCCCGAUAUACCAGCCUGUUGAAUUGGCACAGAGGUGGAGAUAAUUGAUGCCAAGAAAAGGACUGGCAUAGUUUGCUCACUCCAUGGAGCAAACCAGGAUCAGGUCUGAAAUUGUGACUUUAGGUCAAAAUGUGAUCUCUUAUUUAAUUCUGUGUUAGUGAAACUAUGUUUCCUACUUGGGUUGGGUUGUAAGGUGUCAGUCUGGAUCUUCUUUAGACUUUUUACAUUUGGAUCAAGUCAUAGGGCAGGAGCUAAGGGUAGAUCUAGGGUUUCCCAAAGGGGUUGUGGGAGCAGUGACUGCUCCCAGCCUCCUCCCUCCCUACGUGUGUGGGUAGACCAUGCUGCCAGAGCCUCCAGGGACUUUUUAAAGUCCUAAAGCUGGUGAAAAAUAUGAAUUUCCCCUUCAUGCUCAGAGACAUAGUCCUUUCCUCCCCCACCCCUGCUGCCUACUGCUGGCGGGGCUUUGAACCAAGAUCUUCCAUUUGCUAGAAGAGUGCUCUAAACUGUGGGCUAUAGGGCAAGUCUGGGAUGAGCUCUUUCAAUCUCUUUCAUUCAUGCUAGUUCACUUUCUAUAGAACAAUUAUGUAGACAUUAAGACAGUAUGAAAAUAACUAAUUCCUGAUGAUAUAGGACACUCACUUCUGAGGUAGUUCCAAUUUGUGCUUUAACAAAUGUUUAAUUAGCAUGACAACAGAAGAGAUUGAGACUAUCUCCUCCCUUCUUCCUGAUUAUUUGUUGUUGUUGUUGUUGUUAGGGCAUUCAUGGGGGUGAUGUAAGUUGAAAUACCUUCAGCUGUAGGAGCGAAUUUAAUUUGUCUCUCCCAGGUUCUAACUCCAAAAGUCUACCUCCUUGAUUUUUGAAAAUCAAGCUUUUCAUUUAUUUUGUUUUCUUUACAGCUGCUCAAAAUGAAAUGCUUUGUUUCAAGAAUUAAAUUCUGUGGGGGUUUUGUUUUGUUUCAGUGUGAAAAAACAAAACAGUUAAAUCUUGGUUUGGACUGAACUAUUUGUGUUGUGUUUUUUUCAGUUUGGUUGCUGAGUCAAAAGAAUCAGUCCUAAUCUGGAAAUUUGUAGCAUUCUUCUGGAUUAGAAUAGCCUUUUGUAGCUUCAGAAAAUCCUCCUGUUAGCCACUCCUCCUCCUUAAUAGAGUAGGCAUUCAGGUCACAGCAAAGAACAGAACAAGUUUUUAUUGAUUAGGAUUACAGAGACACUUCAAACUUUUCCUCAUAAUAGGAAAAAUAUUUGGAUGAACAAAUACUCCAAAGCUUGGGAGCUAACUGACAUUUGCCUGGGAGGCUUCUUUCUCAUCAACAGCCUGAAUAUACACUGCCAGCUUGUGAUAAAGAGCAAGCCUUGCAAGGGAAGGUUGCACCACCAUGCUGGUGGGAAAUGCAAACCUAGAUGAUUAUGGAAGCAAGUGGAGCUAAUGAGACAACAGGGAAAGUUCAGAACAAGAAAAUUGCAUCAUAAUCUAGUCUUCAUCAAGGUUUACUUUAAAGUAUCCCUCCAGGGCGGACUACUGGAUACAUUAGAGGGGAGGAGAACCUGAAGAAGGGAAGACAGGAAUGACUGGAGAAAACACAAUGAUCCCUGCAUGGGUCAUUGUAGUUUGUGGGGGGUGUUGUCUAUCUGUGGAUAGAUAAAUACAUACAUAAGCAGAUGUAUAGCGUAUGCUAGUGGGAUUAAUUUAUGUUUAUAUAAAAAAUUGCACCAGACAAGUACAUCUUUCUUUGGUCGUUCUCUUGUAGUCCUGACAGCUCUUCUGUCUUUAGCCCUUUUUUGCAGACCUAGUUCAGCCCACAUUCUCAGGAAGUGUUCUCUGGAACUUGUGCACUACUUGAUUAUCAGGAUUAACUUAUCUUUUCUUUUUUCCACUAAAGCACUAAACAGCUCUUACAGAAAUGUAGGUGUGUUUGAGAAUUAUAAGAGUCUUUAAUUCUCAUACCAAACUACGCCCACAGAAGUCAAUUCCAGUGCCAGUGAUUAAAGGUCAUGUGAAUGGCAAAAAGUAACAGUUGGCUGGACACUAAGAAGCAAAGAAUUAACACUGAUAAUGGCUUUACGGCAUACUGUAAUCUACCUGAUCCCUGAGUUUUUUCCACAUGUGAAAGGUGGAGCUUUUUAUAUGUAAGAAGCUAUAUAGCAGGAGAAAAACAUGGCUGCCGGGACUUGGAUCCCAUAGCAAGAAAACCUCUCUCUCUCUCCCCCCUUUUUUUUUGUCAAAAUGGGCCAGCAGCAAAUGUGAGAAAUCUGAACUAAAGCUGUUUGGUACAGAUGUACUCAUGUGCAUUUGUGUAAGAUAGAAGAUAUGGUUGUUGCUGACUAAUAUCUGAUAUGACAGGUUGCAAUUAUAGGCCUCUCAGAGCAAUCUCUGCUUUGAGCCUCAUUCAAAUGAAAAAAAUCACAAGUAUUUUAGAGUUUGCAUUGUGUGGACCUGAUCAUUGUUUUCUGUGAAAAGUGGUGAAAAAACUGGAUUAAGCAUGGCUUAAAAUCCUAUUAUUACUGCUCUCAGUGAUUAAAAAAAAGUACCACAUUGGGUGUAUUUUGUAUUGUGUGAAAGCUACUGCCUCAUAUGAUGAGAAGAAAAAAUGUUAAUAGUAUAACGUAAGUUAGUUUCGUUUUGUGUUGAACCUUAAAAAUACUUUUUUAAAAUGCAGUAAGUCUGGAGACAAAAUGUUAGUGGUUUUCUCCAUAACCCUGAUGAUAAACUGUGCUUGCAAAAGGAUUUAUUUUAGGUUUUGAUUCUCAUGUCCUUUCACCUCUCUUUGAUUUAUAAUAAAGCUCCCAUCAGUGCCCCCUGGUGGGACCAUGCAGAAACAGUCAUCUUCCUAGGAAUGUGGUUAAGCAGUAGCAAGGUUACUAAUAGUGGAGUAACUUCAAGUGUCAAGCCUUUGAAGCAAGCUCGGUCAGUUAUUCCCACACUGCAUUUUUCUUGCAUGUUUGAAUAGGAGGCAUUCAUAGUGAAGCACCAUCAGUCCGAGACCAAUAAAUAAAAGGGUGAGACGAGAGCUAUAUAAAGGAAUGUAGUCCACUGAAUCCCUCUUAGUUCCUCAGACUCCCUAUGUACUUGAACAUUUGGCUCCUUUUUCCAGUUCAGGAGCUGUACAAAGCCACAGAAUACCACAGAUACCAGAUUAGGCCCAGAUUCUCCUCUUGGUUACAUGAGCAAAUGGGGAGUCAUUCCAGUGAAGCCAAUCGAGUUAUUCUUGGUAAUACACUGAUGCAAUUGGCUCGCAAACUUAGUAGGAGCCUAGUUUGCUCAAAAAAUAAAUAAAAGAAACAAAACUAAAACAAUAAUUAAGUCCACAUUUUGGGUGCUAUUUAAAGACUUCAGUUCAGUCUCCAAAUUUGUGUUGGCAAUUUUAUACCUCUUUGUGUGUGCACAAACAAUUGUCCAAUAUGAACCAGCUCAAUAUUAGCUUGCCACAGUUUUUAUUCCUGGGCUAUUAUUUUAAUCUGUGUGCUUGUCUAAGCCUUGUAUUCAGUUUUCUAUCAUGGUAUCUGAACUUCCAGGGUAGAUAGCACAGUCAUAGCAAUCGUAAAGACAGGGUGGAAAGUCAGUUUUUCUAGGUCUUUAGAACUACAGAAGCCUUGCUGGAAACUGCUCAAAUCAUGAGCUUGAGCGAAUCAGGACCUAUCCUGAAAUUUCUUCACAAUGGCCAACAUCACAAACUAUGUUCUAGCUAACCCUAGCCCUGCAUGAUCAUGAAGAAAUUAAUUUCUUUUUUUAUCUGGGUAAUCUAUCUCACGCCAGACAAUGAGUGUAUUUUGUUUGGCUCAGUGACACUGGGAAAAGGAAUCAUUCUUAGAAUCAGGACUUCAUGGAGUUUCAACAGAGGCACGUACUUGUCAGGUAGUUGCUCGUUCUGAUGAGGCUCAAACAUACGGCAUAUUUCACGUUAUGAUGGUGACCCGAACUGUGGGAAACCACCAAAACAAACAGCAGCAGAGGAGCUGGAGGGAAACUGAAAUGUGGGAUUCACCGACUGAUUGAGCUCUCUCUGUUGUCAAUAACUGACGGUGACAAGCUGUGAGUUAACAGUAGAUGUGCUCGGGGAGGAGAGGUAAAGUUUAGGUUUAAAUUGAAUUCAUAACCUAUACAGAGCUACAGUUAUGAACCAUAAGACUGACUCAUUAUCUGAGUAUCUGUGUGUGGAUGGGGAGAAGUUGCUGUUAGUUCCAGUUAAAUAAUGUGCAUUUGACUCAUAGUGCACUUGCUGAGUUGUAAUUAAAUAUUCAGGGAAGGCCAAUCUAGUACUGGGGUAAGAAAGCACAGUCCUGUUAUCAGCUUGUUUUUACUUAGGUCAGGGCAGACUUUGGCUAAUGUGUUGUGCCCGGUUUAUUAUAGUAUUAUAUGGUGCGACUUUGCUGCAAAUCGUGCUCUAUAGCUGAGUAUCUACUGUUGGAAUACAUGAAAAAAAGGAUGGCCUUCCUCUUCCUAUGUAAAAGAAUACCAUUCAACUACACCAUAGAAUGAUUCAUUAUUGAAGUACUAUACAUGAUCCCAAAUGGGAUUUAUACUUGCCUUGUUCUAACUUAGAACAGAUUAAGUUCUAAGGAAGAAAGUGCAGCUUAUAGAAUUUUUUUCUGAUAUAGGUUGUAUCACUUCCCAAAAUGAAAUAAACUGUCUCAGCAAUAUCACUUUUAUAUUAUUAUAACUUCAUCUAGGGUAUUUGCCUGUAUGGAAGUCUCAUAAAAAAUCACUCCACUAACUAAUGGUAUUAUACUAGCCAAAGUUCCUAUAGCAGACCUAGUGUUUAUAAAUACAAUGCUAAAAGUCCAAUAAUGAACCCGUGUGUUGUUUCCCUGGACACCUCCUCAGUCUUUAGGAUUCAGAAAUUAGAGCUGAGGGAAAAGUUCCCCAAUCACAGCAAAUAACUGUUUUAAAUGAGCCUUGAAAAUAUUUGGGGAGGUUCGUAUCCAUAUGGGGUGCCUCUUAGUAGAGCGCUAUGGAGGUUUGUCUCUACAAAAGAUGUUUAGUUUAAUCCAGGACUGAAAAACAAAGGAAGUGCUGCUUCCACACUAAUUAAAAACACAGCUAAUCUGUUGCUCAUGUGUACCAAUUUUUACUGCAUUGUAAUGUAAAUGCUUUUUUAGAUGUGGAAAAAGUUUAUAAAAAUAUACUAUAGAAAAACUUACAGGAAUCUGUACUCUUCAAAGAGACACUGGCAGUCUUUUAUGUAGGUACUCUGAUCAAAAUGGGCUUUGUACUUUCUAUAGAUAUGUGCCUCAGAUCCAACAUCUGUCUAGAGAAUUAAAAAAUGCCAUUUGGAUUCAGCAAACAAAAUGAUGAUUAGGAGGUAGGGAAAGUUAAUGAAAAAUGAUGUACUGGAUGCUUUUCGGUUCUCACACCCAGACCCACGAACUAGAAAAAAUAGGAGACAAAAAACCCUCAAAUAACCGUAUGCAUUAAUUUAUAAAUGCAUGCAAGGUUCAACUGCUACUAUUGCUUUGAGCCAUUUCUGGAAGUUUCUAGAUCAUACAGCAUGGUGAGCAAUACUACUACAACUUCACUGUUUGACAGGAUAUCACUCUAUAUGGUGUAUCUUUUUUUUAAGGGACACGGCUUAUCCUUUUUGAAUCAAUUGAUAAAGUUGAAGGUCCAAUCACUUUUCCUCCUUUCAUGUCCUCAGAUACGUUUUUAGGAAUAAAACUGGCUAUUAGCCCCCAUGCUUUAGCUAGGAUUACUAUAUUUCCAGUUUCAAAAAAGUGGACACCUGUGCGGACAUAUAGUAACCUUGCUCUAGCCCAAUUAUGGUUUGCAUCAUUAUACUCGGAUUGAAUGCCUACUUCUAAGGCCCCAUCACAGUAGUAAUCUGCUUGUCCAAAUCCCUGCUGCAGAUGCAACCAGGAUUUCUCACUCCCUGCCACAAACACUGUGUGGUAUUGCUGUAGAAUGUUGUAGAGUUGCCACAUUUCAUCGUGGUGUUUGAUGUAGUCUAAUUUAAAACACACAAGCAAUGAUCUUCCGCCAUUUCCCUGGGCUUAUUGGAUGCUUUUCCUAAUUUUCAGACUAAAUAUUAUUUUCUUAAUUGUGCCACAUUAAAUAUUCCCUUUCUACCUCUGCUAUGUGUACCCUUCAAAUAUUUGCAGCUUAGUGUUAUCUGCCACCUUAAUCAAAAUACAACAUAUUUAUUAACUGUUCCUCAUAAAUCAGUCUCUCCAGCUCUUUAAUCACGUAGGCUGGUCAUCUCUGAAUUUCUUCCAAUCUUUCAGUACCUUUCAGGUGAUAUGCCCACAAAUGAAUGCAGUAUUCCAGAUUUGGUCAUCCCAGAGCCAUAUAAAGCGGAAAUUCGACCUCCCUCUUCAUUGUGUGACAUUUUUGAAUAUCCAAAAUCAAAGUGAUUUUUUUUCUUUGUAGCUUUAUUACAUAACAGUUGUCUCUCUGUUUUCCUUUUUCUAUGUUCACUAUACUGAAAAAUAAAUGAAAAAAAAUGUAUCUAAUUUCCUCUGUAUGUGCCUACAUCUAAGGCUCCAUCACAGUAGUAUUGUACCUGUCUAAAUUAGUUCUGCAGGUUCAGCUGGGAUUUCUCACUUUCUGUCACACACUUUGCCACGCUCAGCCCUGUGAAUGCUGAAUGUUUAAGGUGUCUCAAUACAGCUCUACAGGUGUGAGUUCAUGCUCUUUUCUGGACUCUUGCCAAGAGGCUGUCUCUAGUUACUCCACCUGUAAAUUAAUACCUGGUUGGUUGGGCUACACAUAUACUAUUGGCUGCAGAAAUUGGUAUGCUUUAGCCACACUGGCCCAAUGUGCCAUAAGGCUUGGGUGGACCUUUGCCUUGACUCUUACUCCUAGAUUUCUCCCUCCCAUUGCGUAUACGUGUUUCAGCUAUUUCUCACCAAGUCACAAAGUCUUAUUUGGGCAUUACUUACAUAAAUCUAAACACCCAUGUCUUGCUCUCUCUUCCUCCCUUUCUCUUCUUUAUAUAUGCUUUGUAUUAUUUUAGCAUGUAAAUGCUGUCAUUAAUGUGACAAAAUAAUUCUUUAAACACGUAAUGGUUUUGGCUGAAAUUUUCCAGGCUUGAUUUUUCUGUCCCUAGCAGACAUCUCAUUUAGUCAUUGCCAUCCUGGACAAUCUGCCCCCCUUUACUCAUGCAGAUAAAGGCACAAUAGAAUCUAAUGCACAAUCCAUACAAUUGUGCCUGCUGGCAUCCAUCUCAUGUGCAUGGCAGGAGGUGUGAUUGUAGGAUUGCACAUUAGAUCCCAUCAUACUUUAUUGCUGGUGCAGGAGAAGAUGGGGUUCCCCCUGUACCAGCAACAAGCAAACUCCUGAAGCUGGGGGCUCCCUCAUGGGGGUCUCCCAGCUAUGGGGGCACCCCAUAUGCCCCUGGGCCUGGGGAAUCAUGGUAACUGCAAUCCCCCAGCCCUGGGGUUUCACACACCCCUGAGUCUGGGAGAUCAUGGCAGCCAUGAUCCCCCAGCCCCAGGGGUUUCACAUACCUGCUGGGACUCAGCUGGGUCCUGGCACCCUAUGUCCACAGCUUCAGGACUCCGGGUCCCUAUGUUGUUGAGACCCAGAACUGGCAGCUGCUGGUGCUGAGAAUCUCCUCAGUUGUGAGACUCCCAGCUCCAAGUUGGCAUGGCGUACCCCUGCAGCUGUGAGCUCUGUCAGCUGAUGGGGCUCCCAGUUGCAAGGGAGACCCUGCUACACAUGCAACUUAAAGCUCAGUAGCAACCAGCUGUACAGUUAAUAUAGAUAUUUGAGAUCUAACUUUAUGGCUGAUUGGAGCUUUACAUGGCAUGUUAGCUUCUUUGCAUAUGUAGCUGGUGUUAAGGUAAUAGCACAAUUAACUGGUUAAUUGCAUGAUAUCUAUAAUGUGUAAUGGGGGCCUCUAAGGAACAUUGGUGCCAAAUAAAAAUGCAACUGAUUUUUGAAUCUCAGCUGCCACUUUUUCUUACUAAAGACCCUGAAGAAAGAGGAAAUAGAGAGGCACCAUCAUGUGUUCCCUUUCAGUCAGAAUCACCACUGCAAAGUCACCUAAACAGAACUGCUACUACUGAUACCACCACUGUCACAAUUUCCAGAAACCCCAUGCUAAUAAGUCUGAGAGUAGACAUGUCACCCAUCUAGGCCACAUAAGGAACAGCUGCAGAGACAACAACGUAAAUACUUGCCAACAUGCCUAUUAGUUUUCAGAAAGGCAUUUUAGUUUCAGCAUCAGCUGAGCCUAGGAAGGCACCACUGAGGGUAAAACAAUCCCACUGGAACCCAGUGACCUUCUCCUCACCACAAAGGGAGAGCAAAUCCACAGUUAGUUUAGCAGGAACAUCUGAGCCUCCUGAAUAGAGGUGAACUCUGAGUAAGCAUCUGAGCACAGCUAAAAAGAUGAGCCUCACCAAGGAAGAGCCAAGCAUGGUGAGACAUGAAUGGCGCUUGUACACAUGACACCCAGAUGAUGUACACAUGAUGAAUUUCCCUUUAUGUGGCUUAAUGACAUCACAUUUUAAAUGUAUGCAAGUUUUGGGGGCUUUAAAUGAGUUCAUAUUGUUACAAACUAAACUACAUCCCAAUGUAGUUUAGUGUGCAAUGUUGCAACUUGCAACAUUACAGCCAUUAAUCUGUCACAUGUACAUGACAAUUCACUGAAUGACAUGCAGCGAGCCCCCUUGACCAUUGGAUAUCACUACAAUUUUUGUGUAGUGAGCCCCCUUUUUGCAUGUAUUUGUGUGUAAUGAAUGUUUUAGGAUACCAGGUGUAGCUGCAGAGCCUGUGAAUCAAUCCUCUGCAGACCUUAUUUUAUUAAAUAAAGAAUUCAAAGACACUGAUCUGUGGUUGUUGUCUCCUAUUUCACUUCAUGUGGUGGGUGUCCAAAGGUCGCAUGGGUGUGUUGGGGUGUUGCAGAUCAGGGUCAUCCUGGGCUGUUUUGAAGAUUGAUGAGUGUCUGCUGUACAUGCUCCCUUCUCCAUUAUUGGGGAUAAUGUGGUGCGUGGUGUACCCUGUUCCCCUCAGCGCAAUUAUAGAAACUACUCUAUGGAAUAAAAAUGACCUUUGCCAGCAAAACAUGUAUCCUGUUCCCCUAGUCUGGGGUUUGAGGUUAAAACACAGAAUUAAUAACCAAUGGCCGGCUUUAUAUGGGCUGCCAAGCAUGGUUUUCUUUGUCGUUAAAAGCAGUAAGCAGGUGCUCAGUCUCAGGAUAGUACAUACUAGCCUGCAUGCAUUACAAUUUUUUUUUUUCUCAGUGUGCAGCCCCCUGCUCCCCAAAACCAACCCGCAGUUUCAGGAGGGUGGACACUUUUCCUGGUUCACCUUGGUGACUCAGGCUUGAGGCACAAGCAAGACCCAAGGCUUGUGCCUGCCCCAUACUGGGGAUGGGGCAGGUGGGACCCUGGGUGGCCAGGCAGUCUUCGGCCAGGGGCCCCUGGGAGCAGUCACUGCUUAGCCCCACUAUUUAGCCUGCUGUUGCGCCAUGCAUGGACAGGCAGUUUUUAGGGUCAGUCUUUGCAACAACAAGGGAGGUGAGCUCUGGUUCUGGUGGGUGUGUUCUGCUCUGAGCAAUUAACACAUAAUAGGAGUUUAAUGCCUCCCCAAAGUUCCCUUGCUGUCCAGACAGCUGGCCAGCUGUCAGUCUUUGCAACAACAGGGGAGGUGAAGUUUGGGCCCCCUUGGGUGUGUUCUGCUCUGAGCAGUUAACACCUACUAGGAGUUUAAUAGGUCCCCCAAGUUCACUGGGCUACUUUAACAUUCUCCUUUGAGAGACUCAGAGCAGGAGUUCUUGGUCAAACAGCCAAGAAGCGUACACACAGAAGACAUCUAGCCACCCCAGCCAUGGAUUCCAGGGAAUCCAGAAGGACCUCAGCUCUAUCAAGGAGGCACGAGCAUUGCCAUCCUCCCAUUCCCCCCCCCCCAUUCUCAUCCCAUGUGUCCUUGCACCCUUCCCCCAUCCUAUUCUAGUGGUGAUGCUCCCACCAUGCACUGUCCACCACAAAUGGUCCUCCUGACCAUACAGUUCUGUCUGAACCUCCUUUCACCCUCCUGCUUCCCUCUACCACUCCCACUCCAGCCCUGCCCCCUGCAUCUGCCACAAUGUUGGGAACCAGAGCCUGAAGCAGAAGUGCAGCGGGUGGUAAGUCUGCUGUUGCGGGGCUGGGGGUGGGGGGAACUUGGGCAUAUGGUACUAGGGAAAAAGCAUGAAAUAGUGUAUGUAAUGCAGGAUAACUUCUGUGUCUCUUCCAAUUGCCUUCCAGCUGUGCCUUGCUUGACGACUGCCAAUGUAGCAACCCAGACCCCGGAAUAUUCAGCUGCACUGUGUCCAUAGCUCCAAUUCCAAUUCCAGUGCUGCCACCAAGGACGCACAGGCAACCAAGGCAGGAUGCAGCCAAUGUAUGAUCCGAUGGGCUGGUGAACGCCCUCAGGAGCUGCAAGCAGUGACUGCGUGAGCUGGUCAGACAGAUCUAUCAGGCUAUGGGAGGAUUCAUUGCCAUCCAGAAUGAAAGGAACCGUGCAGAGUCCGCAAGGCUUUCUGAGACACGGCAGGACCAGCAAAUAAUGACAGGUGUACUGGUAGUGAUUCUAUACCUGGUGGUCAUUGGCCCCAAUCCUGAACCUGCCCCUGCCAGGGAGCGGCAAUGGUGGGCACAGAUCCACACUCUGCAAUCCGAUAGCUCUCUGUCAAGCUCUGAAUGAAAGUCCACCUUAGGGCCAGGCUCUUUUAGUUGGAACUGAUUAUUGGUUUGUAUUUUUUUCAUGAUUCAUGCACUGUUAUAGUAAGUAGGCCACUAUACUAAUUGUUAGAGUAAUGGCACCAUUAUUGUCAUUGUGUUUUUAACUAUUCAUGUACCAUUAGAGUAAUUCAUAGUAAUUCAUACUGAAUAUGAAUCACUAUCUUAAAAGAGUUGUUCUGUGGUUUGUUUCCUUUCUUUAUUUUUGUUGGUUGUAAAUAAAGG